GGAAUUGCGGCAGCUACACAUGCAAGUCGAGCGAGCUCUUCGGAGCUAGCGGCGGACGGGUUAGUAACGCGUGGGAACGUGCCCUUCACUGCGGAAUAGCCACUGGAAACGGUGAGUAAUACCGCAUACGCCCUUCGGGGGAAAGAUUUAUCGGUGAAGGAUCGGCCCGCGUUAGAUUAGAUAGUUGGUGGGGUAACGGCCUACCAAGUCUACGAUCUAUAGCUGGUUUUAGAGGAUGAUCAGCAACACUGGGACUGAGACACGGCCCAGACUCCUACGGGAGGCAGCAGUGGGGAAUCUUGGACAAUGGGCGCAAGCCUGAUCCAGCCAUGCCGCGUGAGUGAUGAAGGCCUUAGGGUCGUAAAGCUCUUUCGCCAGAGAUGAUAAUGACAGUAUCUGGUAAAGAAACCCCGGCUAACUCCGUGCCAGCAGCCGCGGUAAUACGGAGGGGGUUAGCGUUGUUCGGAAUUACUGGGCGUAAAGCGCACGUAGGCGGAUCAGAAAGUUGGGGGUGAAAUCCCGGGGCUCAACCCCGGAACUGCCUCCAAAACUCCUGGUCUUGAGUUCGAGAGAGGUGAGUGGAAUUCCGAGUGUAGAGGUGAAAUUCGUAGAUAUUCGGAGGAACACCAGUGGCGAAGGCGGCUCACUGGCUCGAUACUG
rnacentral:rRNA from 1 species